CCUACGGGGGGCAGCAGUGAGGAAUAUUGGUCAAUGGCCGGAAGGCUGAACCAGCCAAGCCGCGUGAAGGACGAAGGUGCCAAGCAUUGUAAACUUCUUUUGUCAAGGGACAAAAUCAGGCUCGAGAGCCUGACCGAGGGUCCUUGAAGAAAAAGCAUCGGCUAACUCCGUGCCAGCAGCCGCGGUAAUACGUAGGGGGCAAGCGUUAUCCGGAUUUACUGGGUGUAAAGGGAGCGUAGACGGCGAUGCAAGUCUGAAGUGAAAGGCGGGGGCCCAACCCCCGGACUGCUUUGGAAACGGUAUGGCUGGAGUGCAGGAGAGGUAGGCGGAAUUCGUGGUGUAGCGGUGAAAUGCUUAGAUAUCACGAAGAACUCCGAUUGCGAAGGCAGCUUACUAAACUGCCACUGACAUUGAUGCUCGAAAGUGUGGGUAUCAAACAGGAUUAGAUACCCUGGUAGUC
rnacentral:rRNA from 1 species